CUGACCAUACCACAUCCUCAAGCUGUCGCUCCAUUGCUCUCCUUCUCUUUGACUUGAAACUUAUGUGAACAUUGCUCUCGUCCAAGGUCACACCCCCUUUCUGAGGGGUCCUGAGAGACUGAAGAUCCAUCCAAGCUCCAGAGCUCCAUCCAGGAUUAGGUGACGUUGGAUGAAAUGGAGGAUGCAUGGUGUUUGUGUGGAUUUUAGAGUAAGCGUUCUGGUCUUGGCCCAACUGCAAUUGUAGGUAAGAACUAUUUUAAAGACACACACACACACACACACACACACACACACACACAGUCGCUGGGUUUGUCCUCAGAAACUCUUAGAAUGGCAUGUUUAUCUUGCCCUUUACCCUCACAGAGUUUAAUUUUGUAACCAAGGAAAUGUCCUGGUUCUUGGGCUAACAGUUUCUCAGCAGAAGAUGAACAUUAAAAAUGUUUUGUUCCUAAAGAUCUUGUGCUCCUUGCCUGCUAUUGACUGAAUAUUUGUGCCCCCUAAAACUAUAUGUUAAAACCUAAUUCCCAAUGUGGUGAUAUUUGGAAGUUGGGCCUUUGGCAGAGCCCUCGUGAACUGGGAAUAGUAUCCUUAAAAGAGAGGUCCCAGAGAGCCCUCCCUUCCCCUCUAGCCAUGUCAGGUUAUAGCAAGAAGACAGCUGUUUGUGAACCAGGAAAUGGGCCCAACAGACACCGAAUCCACCAGAACCUCGAUCUUGGACUUUCCAGUCUCCAGAACUCUGAGAAAUAAGCUUUUGUUGUUAUAAACCAUCCACUAUGCAGUUCUCUGUUACAGCAGCCAGAACGGAUGAAGACAUUGGCUUAUGCUUAUGUUUUGACUCACUGUCCUCUCGUCGUGCACCCAAAGGUACGGUGACAACAGUCCUUCUGACUUUUCCUGAGGCCACCUGCACCUGCACUCCAGCUGGCUGACUUCACUACCUCCUCCUUAAUUGUUUCCGAUUGGAGAAGCAAUUGGAUCACAUACUUGAAGUGACCAGUGAAUAAAGGGUAGUAUGACUCAAGGUGCUCACGCUUGCAAGCUGACGAGGAGCAAAGCUGUCAUAUCAUGUUUCUCAUGUAAAUAAGGAUGUUGGAUAAAUAUCACUGAACUCUUUUCUAAUACACCAUGUGCCGACUUGUGGAGCUUCUGCGGCAAAGCCAGGAAGCCCCGAACGUGCAUCGUUUCGAUACUUGCUGUUUAUUACUAAUAAGCAUUGUCAUUUACUGGACACUGAUGUUAGACGUAAUGACGGAGUGUGUACCCUUCUGCACUCUGCAUGUCCUACACAACAGAUAAUAGCAUCGAUGGAAGCCUUGCUAUGUGCCGAGUACUGCCUGCCGCUGUUCGGUGUCCCUCAGCCCACCUGACAUUCUCACCUGUCAAUCAUCAACCACCACUACAUAAACGUGUUUAAGUCCCUGAGCAUUUCUUUGGCAUCACAUUGUGGGAAAACAGCUGGAUGAAGUUUCACCCAGUUUAAAGGCUAUUUGAGGAUGAUCUUACUUCAGAUGAGCUACAUGACAUGGAAUUUUCACCAUGGGAAGCCUCAGGUGCCCUAUCUUUGUGGGUCAGCCUGAACCAUGGCUUUGUUACAAGGGGAUCUCAGAAGCAGGAAAGCCCAUCCAAGGUCUGAAGUUGAAAGAUCCA